rnacentral:tRNA from 1 species
GUUAAUGUAGCUUAACAAUAAAGCAAAGCACUGAAAAUGCUUAGAUGGAUGUUUUCAUCCCAUAAA